CCAGGAAUGGAGGAACUGACCAAUUCCUACAUUAAUUCUUUAUUAAAAGCUAACUGUGAUGCGGUGGGAUGCCCCGAGGAGUUUUUGUUUGUGCCGUUUCUGUCUGUAUGUGCAGGUUUCAUGGGUGCUGAGACCGAAAUACAUUUCCACUCGGAAUGGAAAGAGCCACCAAUUAUAUGGACAAUGGUUGCGGCAUCGAAGGGGGAGAGAAAAUCGCCAGCACUAAAACGAAUAACAGAUUCAAUAUUCAAUAUUCAAACUGAAGAGCACCGAAAAAUUUUUGAACAAAGUCUAAAUAAUUCUAUCACCAUAGAAACCCCUACAAACAGAAAUAAAACUAUUUCCAACAAAAUACCACCCAAUGACCCCAACUAUUGAUAGAUGUCUUUUCCAUGGAAGAACUUCACAGUGUACUUUUUAGGAAUAACUAUCAGAUUAUUGGAGUUUAUGAAGAGAUUAAAGUUCUACAUCAGUGCCUAUAUAUAUAUAAACCAGGUGGAAGUCUCAUAGACCGUAAACAGUUUUUAAACUUAAAUGGGGGAUCACAAUGGGACCGUAAUUUUAAGAAUUCCGGUUAUUCCCACCUACCAAAAACCCAUUUCAACCAUACCGGAAUGAUUCAACAGAAAAUACUGAAAAAUCCGAUAUCAUCAAAACUUCCAGCAAAAAACUAAAAAGGCUUUUAGAAUUUGAAGAAGAAGACAAAAUCAUCAUUCCGGCACUGGCAUGCAGGCAUGCAUUAAUAAUCAUCCAGUAAACAAAGAGGACAGGGUCAAUGCAUCCAAUAUCAAA